rnacentral:rRNA from 1 species
UACGUAGGCAGCGAGCGUUGUUCGGAGUUACUGGGCGUAAAGCGCGUGUAGGCGGCUGCGAAAGUCGGGUUGGUGAAAUCCCUCGGCUUAACCGAGGAACUGCAGCCGAAACUUCGUGGCUAGAGUGGCAGAGAAGGAAAGUGGAAUUCCCGGUGUAGUAGUGAAAUGCGUAGAUAUCGGGAGGAACACCAGCGGCGAAAGGCGACCUUUCUGGACUGCUGAACUGACGCUGAGACGCGAAAGCUAGGGGAGCGAACGGG